UCUCAGACAUGAGAAAAGAAAGUGGUUUCUUGAGAUGGAAACUACUCCUGGUGAAAAUAUUGUGAA
rnacentral:pre_miRNA from 3 species